rnacentral:rRNA from 1 species
CCUACGGGACGCAGCAGUCGGGAAUAUUGCGCAAUGGAGGAAACUCUGACGCAGUGACGCCGCGUAUAGGAAGAAGGUUUUCGGAUUGUAAACUAUUGUCGUGAGGGAAGAAAUUGACAGUACCUCAGGAGGAAGCCCCGGCUAACUACGUGCCAGCAGCCGCGGUAAUACGUAGGGGGCAAGCGUUAUCCGGAUUUACUGGGUGUAAAGGGAGCGUAGACGGAAAGGCAAGUCAGAAGUGAAAACCCAAGGCUCAACCAUGGGACUGCUUUUGA